UUAAGCGACUAAGCGUACACGGUGGAUGCCCUGGCAGUCAGAGGCGAUGAAGGGCGUGCUAAUCUGCGAUAAGCGCCGGUAAGGUGAUAUGAACCGUUAUAACCGGCGAUACCCGAAUGGGGAAACCCAGUGUGAUUCGUCACACUAUCAUUAACUGAAUCCAUAGGUUAAUGAGGCGAACCGGGGGAACUGAAACAUCUAAGUACCCCGAGGAAAAGAAAUCAACCGAGAUUCCCCCAGUAGCGGCGAGCGAACGGGGAGGAGCCCAGAGCCUGAAUCAGCAUGUGUGUUAGUGGAAGCGUCUGGAAAGGCGCGCGAUACAGGGUGACAGCCCCGUACACAAAAGCGCAUGUGCUGUGAGCUCGAUGAGUAGGGCGGGACACGUGGUAUCCUGUCUGAAUAUGGGGGGACCAUCCUCCAAGGCUAAAUACUCCUGACUGACCGAUAGUGAACCAGUACCGUGAGGGAAAGGCGAAAAGAACCCCGGCGAGGGGAGUGAAAAAGAACCUGAAACCGUGUACGUACAAGCAGUGGGAGCNGCUUUGGGGUGGGGUGACUGCGUACCUUUUGUAUAAUGGGUCAGCGACUUAUAUUCUGUAGCAAGGUUAACCGAAUAGGGGAGCCGGAGGGAAACCGAGUCUUAAUUGGGCGUUAAGUUGCAGGGUAUAGACCCGAAACCCGGUGAUCUAGCCAUGGGCAGGUUGAAGGUUGGGUAACACUAACUGGAGGACCGAACCGACUAAUGUUGAAAAAUUAGCGGAUGACCUGUGGCUGGGGGUGAAAGGCCAAUCAAACCGGGAGAUAGCUGGUUCUCCCCGAAAGCUAUUUAGGUAGCGCCUCGUGAAUUCAUCUCCGGGGGUAGAGCACUGUUUCGGCUAGGGGGCCAUCCCGGCUUACCAACCCGAUGCAAACUGCGAAUACCGGAGAAUGUUAUCACGGGAGACACACGGCGGGUGCUAACGUCCGUCGUGAAGAGGGAAACAACCCAGACCGCCAGCUAAGGUCCCAAAGUCAUGGUUAAGUGGGAAACGAUGUGGGAAGGCCCAGACAGCCAGGAUGUUGGCUUAGAAGCAGCCAUCAUUUAAAGAAAGCGUAAUAGCUCACUGGUCGAGUCGGCCUGCGCGGAAGAUGUAACGGGGCUAAACCAUGCACCGAAGCUGCGGCAGCGACGCUUAUGCGUUGUUGGGUAGGGGAGCGUUCUGUAAGCCUGUGAAGGUGGCCUGUGAGGGUUGCUGGAGGUAUCAGAAGUGCGAAUGCUGACAUAAGUAACGAUAAAGCGGGUGAAAAGCCCGCUCGCCGGAAGACCAAGGGUUCCUGUCCAACGUUAAUCGGGGCAGGGUGAGUCGACCCCUAAGGCGAGGCCGAAAGGCGUAGUCGAUGGGAAACGGGUUAAUAUUCCCGUACUUGGUGUUACUGCGAAGGGGGGACGGAGAAGGCUAUGUUGGCCGGGCGACGGUUGUCCCGGUUUAAGCGUGUAGGUGUGUGUUCCAGGUAAAUCCGGUUCACUUUAACACUGAGGCGUGAUGACGAGGCACUACGGUGCUGAAGCAACAAAUGCCCUGCUUCCAGGAAAAGCCUCUAAGCAUCAGGUAACAUCAAAUCGUACCCCAAACCGACACAGGUGGUCAGGUAGAGAAUACCAAGGCGCUUGAGAGAACUCGGGUGAAGGAACUAGGCAAAAUGGUGCCGUAACUUCGGGAGAAGGCACGCUGACAUGUAGGUGAAGUGAUUUACUCAUGGAGCUGAAGUCAGUCGAAGAUACCAGCUGGCUGCAACUGUUUAUUAAAAACACAGCACUGUGCAAACACGAAAGUGGACGUAUACGGUGUGACGCCUGCCCGGUGCCGGAAGGUUAAUUGAUGGGGUCAGCGCAAGCGAAGCUCCUGAUCGAAGCCCCGGUAAACGGCGGCCGUAACUAUAACGGUCCUAAGGUAGCGAAAUUCCUUGUCGGGUAAGUUCCGACCUGCACGAAUGGCGUAAUGAUGGCCAGGCUGUCUCCACCCGAGACUCAGUGAAAUUGAACUCGCUGUGAAGAUGCAGUGUACCCGCGGCAAGACGGAAAGACCCCGUGAACCUUUACUAUAGCUUGACACUGAACAUUGAGCCUUGAUGUGUAGGAUAGGUGGGAGGCUUUGAAGUGUGGACGCCAGUCUGCAUGGAGCCGACCUUGAAAUACCACCCUUUAAUGUUUGAUGUUCUAACGUGGACCCGUGAUCCGGGUUGCGGACAGUGUCUGGUGGGUAGUUUGACUGGGGCGGUCUCCUCCUAAAGAGUAACGGAGGAGCACGAAGGUUGGCUAAUCCUGGUCGGACAUCAGGAGGUUAGUGCAAUGGCAUAAGCCAGCUUGACUGCGAGCGUGACGGCGCGAGCAGGUGCGAAAGCAGGUCAUAGUGAUCCGGUGGUUCUGAAUGGAAGGGCCAUCGCUCAACGGAUAAAAGGUACUCCGGGGAUAACAGGCUGAUACCGCCCAAGAGUUCAUAUCGACGGCGGUGUUUGGCACCUCGAUGUCGGCUCAUCACAUCCUGGGGCUGAAGUAGGUCCCAAGGGUAUGGCUGUUCGCCAUUUAAAGUGGUACGCGAGCUGGGUUUAGAACGUCGUGAGACAGUUCGGUCCCUAUCUGCCGUGGGCGCUGGAGAACUGAGGGGGGCUGCUCCUAGUACGAGAGGACCGGAGUGGACGCAUCACUGGUGUUCGGGUUGUCAUGCCAAUGGCACUGCCCGGUAGCUAAAUGCGGAAGAGAUAAGUGCUGAAAGCAUCUAAGCACGAAACUUGCCCCGAGAUGAGUUCUCCCUGAGACUUAGAGUCUCCUGAAGGAACGUUGAAGACGACGACGUUGAUAGGCCGGGUGUGUAAGCGCAGCGAUGCGUUGAGCUAACCGGUACUAAUGAACCGUGAGGCUUAACCUU
rnacentral:rRNA from 1 species